rfam:Theileria equi strain WA gcontig_1105316255047 apicoplast, whole genome shotgun sequence.
ACCAAAAUAGCUCAAUAGGUUAGAGUAAUGGUUUGAAGGACCAUAGGUAAUCAGUUCGAAUCUGAUUUUUGGUG